UACGUAGGGUGCGAGCGUUAAUCGGAAUUACUGGGCGUAAAGCGUGCGCAGGCGGUUCUCCAAGUCCGUUGUGAAAGCCCCGGGCUCAACCUGGGAAUGGCAGUGGAAACUAGGGGACUGGAAUCUGGCAGAGGGGGGUGGAAUGCCGCGUGUAGCAGUGAAAUGCGUAGAUAUAGGAAGGAACACCAGUGGCGAAGGCGACCACCUGGACUGAUACUGACACUGAGGUGCGAAAGCGUUGGGGAGCAAACAGG
rnacentral:rRNA from 1 species